GACGACGGCUGGCGGCGUGCUUAACACAUGCAAGUCGAACGGUGAUCUUGAGAGCUUGCUCUUGGGUGAUCAGUGGCGAACGGGUGAGUAACACGUGAGUAACCUGCCCCUGACUCUGGAAUAACUUCGGGAAACCGAAGCUAAUACCGGAUAUGACACAGAGCCGCAUGGUUUCUGUGUGGAAAGUUUUUCGGUUGGGGAUGGACUCGCGGCCUAUCAGCUUGUUGGUGAGGUAAUGGCUCACCAAGGCGACGACGGGUAGCCGGCCUGAGAGGGCGACCGGCCACACUGGGACUGAGACACGGCCCAGACUCCUACGGGAGGCAGCAGUGGGGAAUAUUGCACAAUGGGCGAAAGCCUGAUGCAGCGACGCCGCGUGAGGGAUGACGGCCUUCGGGUUGUAAACCUCUUUCAGCAGGGAAGAAGCGAAAGUGACGGUACCUGCAGAAGAAGCACCGGCUAACUACGUG
rnacentral:rRNA from 1 species